AUUGAACGCUGGCGGCAGGCUUAACACAUGCAAGUCGAGCGGGGUGAUGGUGCUUGCACUAUCACUUAGCGGCGGACGAGUGAGUAAUGCUUAGGAAUCUGCCUAUUAGUGGGGGACAACAUCUCGAAAGGGAUGCUAAUACCGCAUACGUCCUACGGGAGAAAGCAGGGGAUCACUUGUGACCUUGCGCUAAUAGAUGAGCCUAAGUCGGAUUAGCUAGUUGGUGGGGUAAAGGCCUACCAAGGCUACGAUCUGUAGCGGGUCUGAGAGGAUGAUCCGCCACACUGGGACUGAGACACGGCCCAGACUCCUACGGGAGGCAGCAGUGGGGAAUAUUGGACAAUGGGGGGAACCCUGAUCCAGCCAUGCCGCGUGUGUGAAGAAGGCCUUAUGGUUGUAAAGCACUUUAAGCGAGGAGGAGGCUCUUUUGGUUAAUACCCAGAAUGAGUGGACGUUACUCGCAGAAUAAGCACCGGCUAACUCUGUGCCAGCCGCCGCAGUAA
rnacentral:rRNA from 1 species